rnacentral:rRNA from 1 species
GACGAACGCUGGCGGCGUGCUUAACACAUGCAAGUCGAGCGGUAAGGCCCUUUCGGGGGUACGACGAGCGGCGAACGGGUGAGUAACACGUGGGUGACCUGCCCUCAGCUCUGGGAUAAGCCUGGGAAACCGGGUCUAAUACUGGAUAUGACUCCAUGACGCAUGUUGUGGGGUGGAAAGCCUUGUGCGGCUGAGGAUGGGCCCGCGGCCUAUCAGCUUGUUGGUGGGGUGAGGCCUACCAAGGCGACGACGGGUAGCCGGCCUGAGAGGGCGACCGGCCACACUGGGACUGAGACACGGCCCAGACUCCUACGGGAGGCAGCAGUGGGGAAUCUUGCGCAAUGGGCGAAAGCCUGACGCAGCGACGCCGCGUGAGGGAUGACGGCCCUCGGGUUGUAAACCUCUUUCAGCUCCGACGAAGCGAGAGUGACGGUAGGAGCAGAAGAAGCACCAGCCAACUACGUGCC